rnacentral:lncRNA from 1 species
CUCUGGAAUCAUAGCAAGAGAGAGAGUGUCAGCCUUGGAUUUCUGCUUCCUUUCUCUCCUUAGCUAUAAAUUAUGGCUGCAUGGCCUGUCUAGUUCAGAGCGAAGGGACUAGGGAUCUAUUUAUUUUAGAUCUUUCUGAAGGGUUUGCUGUGGGAGUCUAAAAUAUUUAGUUAUCCCUUUGCUCAUGGCUUCACUUUAUUAGUAGGAAAAUUCACUGUAAUUGCAAGCUUUUAAAUUUACGGUGGAGAGAUAGUGAGUUUGUAGAAGAAAUAAAAGCCACACAUUCUUGGUUCUUUCAUAACAUGGGGAAAAUCAAUCACCACCUGGCUGGCAGCUCAGUUACUUGGGGCAAAAAUAACAAACUUCCAUAGGAACCAACCUAUGGAGGGUGACAGGAGCAGGGAUGAUUUUAAUUCUAAAGGGAGGAUCUUAGAGCAGAUGUCAUUCAUUGAUACUGCAUGGAUUCUGAUAAUUUAGCAUUGUUGAACAUUAGAGUAAUAAAAUGUAAUAAUAACAUAGCAAUGUUUGAUCUAUGUUGUUUGGUGGUGG